rnacentral:rRNA from 1 species
GACGAACGCUGGCGGCGUGCUUAACGCAUGCAAGUCGAACGAUGAAGCAAAGAAUUGAAGCUUCGGUAGAAAUUCAUUUCGGAUUAGUGGCAGACGGGUGAGUAACGCGUGAGCAACCUACCUCUUACAAAGGGAUAGCCUCGGGAAACCGGGAUUAAUACCAUAUAACAUUGCGACGAAGCAUUUCGAUGCAAUCAAAGCUACGGCGGUAAGAGAUGGGCUCGCGUCCCAUUAACCAGAUGGUGAGGUAACGGCUCACCAUAGUAACGAUGGGUAACCGGCCUGAGAGGGUGAACGGUCACACUGGAACUGAGACACGGUCCAGACUCCUACGGGAGGCAGCAGUGGGGAAUAUUGCACAAUGGAGGGAACUCUGAUGCAGCGACGCCGCGUGAGUGAUGAAGGAAUUCGUUUCGUAAAACUCUGUUCUAUGGGAAGAAAAGGACUGUACCAUAGGAGAAAGCUCCGGCUAAAUACGUG